GGCGCUGUGGCUUAGUUGGUUAAAGCGCCUGUCUAGUAGACAGGAGAUCCUGAAUUCAAAUCUCAGCAGUGCCU
rfam:Xenopus laevis strain J chromosome 6S, whole genome shotgun sequence.